rnacentral:rRNA from 1 species
GUGGGGAAUAUUGGACAAUGGGCGAAAGCCUGAUCCAGCCAUGCCGCGUGUGUGAAGAAGGUCUUCGGAUUGUAAAGCACUUUAAGUUGGGAGGAAGGGCAGUAAGUUAAUACCUUGCUGUUUUGACGUUACCGACAGAAUAAGCACCGGCUAACUUCGUGCCAGCAGCCGCGGUAAUACGAAGGGUGCAAGCGUUAAUCGGAAUUACUGGGCGUAAAGCGCGCGUAGGUGGUUCAGUAAGUUGGAAGUGAAAUCCCCGGGCUCAACCUGGGAACUGCUUUCAAAACUGCAUGACUAGAGUACGGUAGAGGGUAGUGGAAUUUCCUGUGUAGCGGUGAAAUGCGUAGAUAUAGGAAGGAACACCAGUGGCGAAGGCGACUACCUGGACUGAUACUGACACUGAGGUGCGAAAGCGUGGGGAGCAAACAGGAUUAGAUACCCUAGUAGUCC